CUAGCCUCUAUCCGUGGAGAUAAUUGGAUUACUUCCCAAUUAUCUCCAGGAUAGAGAGGAUGUUUUAUCGCAGCUAAAGGGGAGUGUGUGUGCUUGUGCCACUGUGAUUGGCAACUGUAUCCAUAUUGUCCCAGUCUUCCAUCUGGUCCCCUAGGGGAGUGUCCACCAGGUGGAAGACCUGCAUAAAUACCGGCCAGGUAGCCCUCAAUAAACCAGAUCUCUGCUCAAC